rnacentral:rRNA from 1 species
CCCUUAGAUGUUCUGGGCCGCACGCGCGCUACACUGAAUGGAUCAACGUGUUUUCCCUUCCCGAGAGGGACGGGUAACCCGCUGAACCCCAUUCGUGGUAGGGAUCGGAGCUUGCAAUUGUUCUCCGUGAACCAGGAAUUCCCAGUAAGCGCAAGUCAUAAGCUUGCGUUGAUUACGUCCCUGCCCUUUGUACACACCGCCCGUCGCUACUACCGAUUGAAUGGUCCGGUGAAGCGUUCGGACCGUGGCCUUUGGACGGUUCGCCGUCUGUUGGCUGCGGGAAGUUCGUUAAACCUUAUCAUUUAGAGGAAGGAGAAGUCGUAACA